UUGAGCUACUAGCAGCACAUAUAUACCAAAAUUGGAACAAUACAGAGAAGAUUAGCAUGCGCAAUGAUCAAGGGGAAAUUAUUUAUAUGCAGUAUUAUANN
rnacentral:snRNA from 1 species